rnacentral:lncRNA from 1 species
ACCUAGAGCCAAACACAAGAAGAACCCUAUCGCUACCAACCACAUAGGUCGUUAUUAGCCCCAACAAAGUUCCACUAUCCACUCAUGACGAGUACAAGGAAUACCAGAACACCUACCAAAAAACCACUUCAAGUAGGAGAAUAUGAUCCUCUCUACAACCAAUUGCUCCAUGUCCACAUCUUUCCCAUAGAAGAUCAGGUCAUUACGAGACUUCUAAAUGAACCACAGGACAAAAUAUCAGACCAAUGUUAACCCUGACCUAAUUCUAGGCCUAUCCCCAAAAGAUCCAUAAACAACGAAGAGACUAAACAAACGCAAGGGUAGAACUAUACCACACCCGAGAAUAUUAAUU